GUCUCUUUUAGGCCAUGUCCUAUGAGAAUC
rnacentral:piRNA from 1 species